ACUGGAAAAACCCACCCAGAAGGCGCCGGUGUAUUGAGUGGCCGAUUUCUUCAUCAUCAUCAGCGGAGGGCUCUCCCGAUGUGGGCGGCUCAUCUGCCGGGGCCGGCUCACCUGCCGCAUCACCAGCGUCCAGGGGACGUGGACCAAGCCCGGACCGGGGCUGUCAAGAACAAUCUGCACCUAGAGCCGCCAGCGAGGAUCCCCCAGUCGCCUCCAGA